UCACACCCAGCAGAGCUUCCCAAGCGAUUUUCUGAACGUUUGCAGUUGUCCUCCAGACGGUCGAGUUGUCUCAUCAUGCGCCGACUGCUGAUACACGUGGCAAUGGUGCUCCUCAUCUCUGGCACCUGCAUGCCUGCUCCACAGCCACCGGGAGAAGCAGGUGCCUUAGGGCCACUUCCACGACCAGGCUUGCUGCCAGCUCCACAACCUGAGGUCCUUGGUGAUGUCCGUAAACAAACAAACAAACAGCGACAAAAGCUUUCAGCAAGCCUGCUUGUCUCCCAUCUCCAUCCUGCUUGUCUUCACUAUCCUGCUACACGUGACCCUGUACUCAGUGUCAGUGAACAGAUACAACAGUGAACAUUCAGUAACCGUUUCUGCUACUAGACGACAUUGUGUUUAUCUACAAUACAAAAUGUUUUUAUAAUGUUGUCAAUGUUAGCUGUAGUCUGUAGUUAUCUUACUCCAAUGUCUUGUCAGUGUACUGCCACAAGCUUCAGUGUAGAUAAAUGACAUCCUGUAGGCUCACUGUGUCUACUGUAGCCCUAUGAUGACUCUUGUCAUCGUGUCACGUGCAGCUUGAAACAUUGUCCACGAUGUCCUUACACACAAGCUCUCUGUUAUGUCUGUGUGUUCACUUCACUCUUGCUCCAUCUUUUAGUCUGCUUCUGCUGCUGGAUGAAAUAAUUUUAAAGUAAACAUAAAUAUCUUCAAUCAAA